AUCCUGCCAGUAGUCAUAUGCUUGUCUCAAAGAUUAAGCCAUGCAUGUCUAAGUAUAAGCGACUUGUACUGUGAAACUGCGAAUGGCUCAUUAAAUCAGUUAUGGUUUAUUUGAUGGUACCUUACUACUUGGAUAACCGUAGUAAUUCUAGAGCUAAUACAUGCAGGAAGUCCCGACUUCGGAAGGGAUGUAUUUAUUAGAUAAGAAACCAACCCGGCUUGCCGGUUGCGUGCUGAGUCACAAUAACUGCUCGAAUCGCAUGGCCUUGCGCCGGCGAUGGUUCAUUCAAAUUUCUGCCCUAUCAGCUUUCGAUGGUAGGAUCGAGGCCUACCAUGGCGUUUACGGGUAACGGAGAAUUAGGGUUCGAUUCCGGAGAGGGAGCCUGAGAAAUGGCUACCACAUCCAAGGAAGGCAGCAGGCGCGUAAAUUGCCCGAAUCCUGACACAGGGAGGUAGUGACAAGAAAUAACAAUACAGGGCUAUCUUGGUCUUGUAAUUGGAAUGAGUACAAUUUACAUCUCUUCACGAGGAUCAAUUGGAGGGCAAGUCUGGUGCCAGCAGCCGCGGUAAUUCCAGCUCCAAUAGCGUAUAUUAAAGUUGUUGCAGUUAAAAAGCUCGUAGUCGGAUUUCAAUACGGGUUGGCCGGUCUGCCGAUGGGUAUGCACUGGUUGAGCCGUGUUUCCUCCCGGAGACCUCGCCUGCUCUUAACUGAGUCGGGCGGGGGAAACGGGACUUUUACUUUGAGGAAAUCAGAGUGUUCAAAGCAGGCCAAUUGGUUUUUGUAUGUGUUAGCAUGGGAUAAUGAAAUAGGACUUUGGUGCUAUUUUGUUGGUUUCGAACACCGAAGUAAUGAUUAACAGGGACAGUCAGGGGCACUCGUAUUCCGCCGAGAGAGGUGAAAUUCUCAGACCAGCGGAAGACGAACCACUGCGAAAGCAUUUGCCAAGGAUGUUUUCAUUGAUCAAGAACGAAAGUUAGGG
rnacentral:rRNA from 1 species